rnacentral:tRNA from 1 species
GACGAGGUGGCCGAGUGGUUAAGGCGAUGCACUGCUAAUGCAUUGUGGGUAUCCACGCGUGAGUUCGAAUCACAACCUCGUCG